rnacentral:rRNA from 1 species
UGGGGAAUAUUGCACAAUGGGCGCAAGCCUGAUGCAGCCAUGCCGCGUGUUUGAAGAAGGCCUUCGGGUUGUAAAGCACUUUCAGCGGGGAGGAAGGCGAUAAGGUUAAUAACCUCAUCGAUUGACGUUACCCGCAGAAGAAGCACCGGCUAACUCCGUGCCAGCAGCCGCGGUAAUACGGAGGGUGCAAGCGUUAAUCGGAAUUACUGGGCGUAAAGCGCACGCAGGCGGUUUGUUAAGUCAGAUGUGAAAUCCCCGGGCUCAACCUGGGAACUGCAUCUGAUACUGGCAAGCUUGAGUCUCGUAGAGGGGGGUAGAAUUCCAGGUGUAGCGGUGAAAUGCGUAGAGAUCUGGAGGAAUACCGGUGGCGAAGGCGGCCCCCUGGAAGAAGACUGACGCUCAGGUGCGAAAGAGUGGGGAGCAAACAGG